CGAAAAGUUGGUCAUGCAAAGCGAUCCCUAUCCCCUCAGCCAGAACAUGUGAGAAAAAGAAGCAGACCUGAAGAAAAGCCAAAAAAGAGGGAAAGCAGUAGUCAAACAACAGUUGCUGCUACUCGGAGGUUGCUGCAAUUUGCAGUAAGAGAUGCCGUGGCUACUAAUAGGACAUCCAGUUCCACUCUAGCUCCCUCACCUUCACUAAAGCGUCUUCGCUCUGUGGUCUCUACAUCUGUGGAGGACUCAUCCCUUCCAGAACGCCCACAGAGGAUACGGUCGGUUGCAAGAGCACCAACUGCCUUGGCCACUGCUAUUAGAGCUGUUGCAGAAGCUGCAAAAGAUGUAACAAAAGUUAGAUCGUCAGGUAAUGUGUUUGAUAGGCUGGGUCGUGCUGGAGAUGUUCCUGAUCAUUCAAUCCCUUCACUGGAUGAAUCCAGGCAAGCUGUUGCUGAAGAUGUACAAGAUCAAUCUUUUGCUGAUGCAAGCGAGGCGUACUCAACUUACCUUCACAGAAGUGAUUAUAGUGGAAAGCAUAUUGGG
rnacentral:misc_RNA from 1 species